rnacentral:rRNA from 1 species
GAAACACGGACCAAGGAGUUUGACGUGCGCGCGAGUCGUCGGGUCUUGCUCAGGCCCGAAGGCGAAGCGAAAGCAAUUUGGGAAGGACACUCGUCCUUCCAGAAGGGAUCCGGGGCCCCAGCGGCCUCCCGGCGCACCUUCGGCUCGUCCGCGCCGCCCCGUCGGCCGGGCGGAGUUUGAGCGCGCACGUCGAUACCCGAAAGAUGGUGAACUAUGGCUGGGCAGGACGAAGCCAGAGGAAACUCUGGUGGAGGUCUGCAGCGGUUCUGACGUGCAAAUCGAUCGUCAGACCUGGCUAUAGGGGCGAAAGACUAAUCGAACCAUCUAGUAGCUGGUUCCCUCCGAAGUUUCCCUCAGGAUAGCUGGCGCUCGAGGAGGGAGCAGUCACAUCCGAUAAAGCGAAUGAUUAGAGGCCUUGGGGCCGAAAAGACCUCAACCUAUUCUCAAACUUUAAAUGGGUGCGAAGUCCGGAUUUAACGAGCGAAGACCGGACGUUCCUCUUUGGAUGCGAGUGCCCAGUGGGCCACUUUUGGUAAGCAGAACUGGCGCUGUGGGAUGAACCAUACGACGGGUUAAGGGGCCCGAUGCAGGACGCUCAUGAGAACCCAUGAAAGGUGUUGGUUGCUAUAGACAGCAGGACGGUGGCCAUGGAAGUCGGAAUCCGCUAAGGAGUGUGUAACAACUCACCUGCCGAAGCAACUAGCCCUGAAAAUGGAUGGCGCUUCAGCGUCGACCCCAUACCCGUCCGCCGCCGCGGAGCUCCGGCCCAAGGACGGCGGCUCUUAUGCGGCGGUGAGUAGGAGGGCGCGGGGGCGCGCGUGGAAGGUGCCGGGCGUGAGCCCGCCUGGAGCCGCCCCCGGUGCAGAUCUUGGUGGUAGUAGCAAAUACUCAAGUGAGAACCUUGAGGACUGAGGUGGAGAAGGGUUCCAUGUGAACAGCAGUUGAACAUGGGUCAGUCGGUCCUAAGGGAUGUCCGAAAGGAUUUCCGAAGGGGGGCCUCGCACCCCCCUCGACCGAAAGGGAAUCGGGUUAAUAUUCCCGAACCCGGACACGGAGAUCGGUCCCCUCGCGGGACACGUGCGGUAACGCAAUCGACCUCGGAGACGUCGACGGGGGUCCCGGGAAGAGUUUUCUUUUCUUUGUAAGGGUUCUUGUCCCUGGAAUCGGCUCGCCCGGAGAUAGGGAUGCUGAACCCGUAAAGCACCGCGCUUCUUGCGGUGUCCGGUGCACUCCCGUCGGCCCUUGAAAAUCCGAGCGAGAGUUGGUGAUUUUCGUGCCGGUCCGUACCCAUAUCCGCAGCAGGUC